rnacentral:lncRNA from 1 species
UGGAAGGAUCUGGGCAGGGAUCACUGAUUUAGUCAGAUGAAAUUAACAAGUACUUAUUAAAUGAUUUCUUCAUGCCAGGACCCUUGUGAAAGGAAAUAGGACUGCUUCUGAUUAUGUGGAUAUCUGAAUAACCAUAAGGAUCCCAAGGAAUGAUACGACUUUGAAAUCUUAAAAAAUGCUGUGAAAACUAUACUUCCCAUCAGCCAGGAAAAACAACAACAACAACAAAAUAAGCUUCAACCUUCAUCAGAUUACCUGAAAGUAGAGCCAAAGUCAAGGUACUCCUAAAAUCUGAAGAGAAAGAGCCAAAAAACCCCAAGCCUAAAUCCAAC